GCCUAACACAUGCAAGUCGAGCGGUAGCACAGAGAGCUUGCUCUCGGGUGACGAGCGGCGGACGGGUGAGUAAUGUCUGGGAAACUGCCUGAUGGAGGGGGAUAACUACUGGAAACGGUAGCUAAUACCGCAUAACGUCGCAAGACCAAAGUGGGGGACCUUCGGGCCUCAUGCCAUCAGAUGUGCCCAGAUGGGAUUAGCUAGUAGGUGGGGUAACGGCUCACCUAGGCGACGAUCCCUAGCUGGUCUGAGAGGAUGACCAGCCACACUGGAACUGAGACACGGUCCAGACUCCUACGGGAGGCAGCAGUGGGGAAUAUUGCACAAUGGGCGCAAGCCUGAUGCAGCCAUGCCGCGUGUAUGAAGAAGGCCUUCGGGUUGUAAAGUACUUUCAGCGGGGAGGAAGGCGAUAAGGUUAAUAACCUUGUCGAUUGACGUUACCCGCAGAAGAAGCACCGGCUAACUCCGUGCCAGCAGCCGCGGUAAUACGGAGGGUGCAAGCGUUAAUCGGAAUUACUGGGCGUAAAGCGCACGCAGGCGGUCUGUCAAGUCGGAUGUGAAAUCCCCGGGCUCAACCUGGGAACUGCAUUCGAAACUGGCAGGCUAGAGUCUUGUAGAGGGGGGUAGAAUUCCAGGUGUAGCGGUGAAAUGCGUAGAGAUCUGGAGGAAUACCGGUG
rnacentral:rRNA from 1 species